rnacentral:rRNA from 1 species
CACAGAGCAAUCUGUGUGACUGCGUACCUUUUGUAUAAUGGGUCAGCGACUUAUAUUCUGUAGCAAGGUUAACCGAAUAGGGGAGCCGAAGGGAAACCGAGUCUUAACCGGGCGUUAAGUUGCAGGGUAUAGACCCGAAACCCGGUGAUCUAGCCAUGGGCAGGUUGAAGGUUGGGUAACACUAACUGGAGGACCGAACCGACUAAUGUUGAAAAAUUAGCGGAUGACUUGUGGCUGGGGGUGAAAGGCCAAUCAAACCGGGAGAUAGCUGGUUCUCCCCGAAAGCUAUUUAGGUAGCGCCUCGUGAAUUCAUCUCCGGGGGUAGAGCACUGUUUCGGCAAGGGGGUCAUCCCGACUUACCAACCCGAUGCAAACUGCGAAUACCGGAGAAUGUUAUCACGGGAGACACACGGCGGGUGCUAACGUCCGUCGUGAAGAGGGAAACAACCCAGACCGCCAGCUAAGGUCCCAAAGUCAUGGUUAAGUGGGAAACGAUGUGGGAAGGCCCAGACAGCCAGGAUGUUGGCUUAGAAGCAGCCAUCAUUUAAAGAAAGCGUAAUAGCUCACUGGUCGAGUCGGCCUGCGCGGAAGAUGUAACGGGGCUAAACCAUGCACCGAAGCUGCGGCAGCGACACUGUGUGUUGUUGGGUAGGGGAGCGUUCUGUAAGCCUGUGAAGGUGUGCUGUGAGGCAUGCUGGAGGUAUCAGAAGUGCGAAUGCUGACAUAAGUAACGAUAAAGCGGGUGAAAAGCCCGCUCGCCGGAAGACCAAGGGUUCCUGUCCAACGUUAAUCGGGGCAGGGUGAGUCGACCCCUAAGGCGAGGCCGAAAGGCGUAGUCGAUGGGAAACAGGUUAAUAUUCCUGUACUUGGUGUUACUGCGAAGGGGGGACGGAGAAGGCUAUGUUGGCCGGGCGACGGUUGUCCCGGUUUAAGCGUGUAGGCUGGUUUUCCAGGCAAAUCCGGAAAAUCAAGGCUGAGGCGUGAUGACGAGGCACUACGGUGCUGAAGCAACAAAUGCCCUGCUUCCAGGAAAAGCCUCUAAGCAUCAGGUAACAUCAAAUCGUACCCCAAACCGACACAGGUGGUCAGGUAGAGAAUACCAAGGCGCUUGAGAGAACUCGGGUGAAGGAACUAGGCAAAAUGGUGCCGUAACUUCGGGAGAAGGCACGCUGAUAUGUAGGUGAAGUCCCUCGCGGAUGGAGCUGAAAUCAGUCGAAGAUACCAGCUGGCUGCAACUGUUUAUUAAAAACACAGCACUGUGCAAACACGAAAGUGGACGUAUACGGUGUGACGCCUGCCCGGUGCCGGAAGGUUAAUUGAUGGGGUCAGCGCAAGCGAAGCUCUUGAUCGAAGCCCCGGUAAACGGCGGCCGUAACUAUAACGGUCCUAAGGUAGCGAAAUUCCUUGUCGGGUAAGUUCCGACCUGCACGAAUGGCGUAAUGAUGGCCAGGCUGUCUCCACCCGAGACUCAGUGAAAUUGAACUCGCUGUGAAGAUGCAGUGUACCCGCGGCAAGACGGAAAGACCCCGUGAACCUUUACUAUAGCUUGACACUGAACAUUGAGCCUUGAUGUGUAGGAUAGGUGGGAGGCUUUGAAGUGUGGACGCCAGUCUGCAUGGAGCCGACCUUGAAAUACCACCCUUUAAUGUUUGAUGUUCUAACGUGGACCCGUGAUCCGGGUUGCGGACAGUGUCUGGUGGGUAGUUUGACUGGGGCGGUCUCCUCCUAAAGAGUAACGGAGGAGCACGAAGGUUGGCUAAUCCUGGUCGGACAUCAGGAGGUUAGUGCAAUGGCAUAAGCCAGCUUGACUGCGAGCGUGACGGCGCGAGCAGGUGCGAAAGCAGGUCAUAGUGAUCCGGUGGUUCUGAAUGGAAGGGCCAUCGCUCAACGGAUAAAAGGUACUCCGGGGAUAACAGGCUGAUACCGCCCAAGAGUUCAUAUCGACGGCGGUGUUUGGCACCUCGAUGUCGGCUCAUCACAUCCUGGGGCUGAAGUAGGUCCCAAGGGUAUGGCUGUUCGCCAUUUAAAGUGGUACGCGAGCUGGGUUUAGAACGUCGUGAGACAGUUCGGUCCCUAUCUGCCGUGGGCGCUGGAGAACUGAGGGGGGCUGCUCCUAGUACGAGAGGACCGGAGUGGACGCAUCACUGGUGUUCGGGUUGUCAUGCCAAUGGCACUGCCCGGUAGCUAAAUGCGGAAGAGAUAAGUGCUGAAAGCAUCUAAGCACGAAACUUGCCCCGAGAUGAGUUCUCCCUGACCCUUUAAGGGUCCUGAAGGAACGUUGAAGACGACGACGUUGAUAGGCCGGGUGUGUAAGCGCAGCGAUGCGUUGAGCUAACCGGUACUAAUGAACCGUGAGGCUUAACCUU